CCUACGUGUGGCUGCAGUGGGGAAUCUUGCGCAAUGGGCGGAAGCCUGACGCAGCGACGCCGCGUGCGGGACGAAGGCCUUCGGGUCGUAAACCGCUUUCAGCAGGGACGAGGCACUCACGGUGACGGUACCUGCAGAAGAAGCCCCGGCUCACUACGUGCCAGCAGCCGCGGUAAUACGUAGGGGGCGAGCGUUAUCCGGAGUCCUGGGGCGUAAAGCGCGCGUUGGCGGGCUGUUAGGUCGGGGGUCACAUACCGGGGCUCAACCCCGGGCCGUCCCCGAUACAGGCAGGCUUGAGUCUGGUAUGGGAAGGCGGAAUUCCCAGUGUAGCGGUGGAAGGCGCAGAUAUUGGGAAGAACACCGGCGGCGAAGGCGGCCUUCUGGGCCACGACUGACGCUGAGGCGCGAAAGCUAGGGGAGCGAACAGGAUUAGAUACCCUUGUAGUC
rnacentral:rRNA from 1 species